AAGAAUGAAAGUAAUCUGCUGGUCAGAUGCAGAGUGUUGGGCAGUGAAGGUUAUAAAGAACAGAUUUCAAAGAGAAGACAUGAACAUGCAAAGGGUCUAAGGUGAGAACAUGCUUGGUGUGUUCAAUGAAUAUCAAGAAGGCCAGUGCGGCUGCAGCUGAAUGAGCAGAGUGGAAUAGUAGGAGAGGAGGUCAGGAUAGGAGCAGAGCACCUGGGUCCUUAAAAAACAUUGGAGGUCAGGCUGCCUGCACAUAUAGACCCUUUCCUGUGCUGCCUUAUUGCCAUUAAAUACAGCAU